GACAGCCGUGGGCCGCCAGGGGACAGGGUGCAGGGUGCAGUGUCGUUGAAGCGGCAUUUACGGUCCAGUACGGAACUGUGCCAGUGGAGUGGGAAGUACAGUCGUGCCGUGAUGAAAGGACAAAUGUGGGUCCUUGGCAAAGUGAUGGGGGCCACUGAAGAAGAUCUGAGCAAAACAUUCUACCUCUCCAAACUGAGCGGCAACAUGGAAAUCAGAAGGGCUGCCUUUGGGAUACGUUCACAGUGCGAAUGGCAGUGGCUGCUGGAGGUCUGGUAUCACCUGGCUUCCAGGAAAAUCAGAGCUCCACAUGAUGUGGAAACAGCAAAUAUUUCUGACCUGUGGUUGGGUGAAUCUGAAGUCAUGGAAGCCAAGAAAACAGUGAGUUGCCUGUAAUCACAUCACUAGUUUAGGAGCAAACAGAACACAGUGAUGUGUGAAUUUUCUGGGGUUGCUCUAACAACAACACAAGUGCUUUCUCUUACAUUUCUAGAGGUAAGGAAUCUCACGGGGGUCUCUUCAGCAAAAUGCUAAGCCCUGUGUUCAAUCCCCAGUAGAGGGAGGAGUGGGCAGCGUUGGUGAGAUGGUAGUAUAGGCAGCUAAGUUAGAGAGAGAUUAAUACACAGCCAGGGAGGGACUGGGCUCUCAAGGAGGUCAGCAGAAAAGACACAGACAUCAGAGUUGUGGCUGGAGGCGAUCUAAAGAAGACCAGGCCUUCAGAUAAAGGUGCAACGGCCAGGCCUGCAGGCCUCCCUGAGGGAACAAGCAGUAACUGGGAAUUGGAUUUUAGUUGUUAUCACCUGCCCAGGGAAGUCCAGAUAGAUGUCAGUCACCCAGGUGGGCAACCAGAGCAUCUGGACCCAGCCCUUUCCCCAAAAUGACCCGCUUCCCUAGUGGACUAAUAAUGCUCAGUGGCUAUACUUGUAAUCAUCCGAUAGGUUAAUUGCAAUUUGACCCACGUUUAAGCACUUUGCGCCUUUGCUCUAUAAAUUACCCUGACAGAAUUCCGGGACCCCUCCUGUCUCUCAGGAGCUAUUCGUAGUUCCCAUUCCUGCUCCCCAAUAAACCUUUCUUCUCUGUGGUUUGGAAUUCAUCCCUUGAUUUCAGGGGACACAAACUAGCAUGUGUGUCAGCUCGCAGGUUGGGAGUUACAUUUUUGUCUGUGUCAGUGGGAGCAGGAUUGUGGUAUCUUGUGGUGGAAACCUCUGUCUAAUAUGAGCCUGCUCUACCAGCUUAUCUCCACCCACCCCAGGGAAGCCUAACCCUGACCCCAUCGCCAUGCCCAUGAGGCUUAGCUACUCACAGGCCCAGUGCCUGCCCGUCCUGCCAUCGCACUUUGUCACAGGUCUCCUCUGUCGCUCGUGAUCCUUCCUGGUUCCUGUGGAAGCAGUAACUAUUGGCCUCAUAAACAUAUGGAGACUGGGUGAGCACCCCGCAAGCCAGGAAUGUCACUGUCAUACAGUGUGGUUUGUACGGGCUCAUGGUUCUGCAAAGGAAGGAAAUCACAAACUAAGGGAGAAAAUUAGGAGUUUUACUGGAAAUGAGGAUAGCUCCUGGAUUUCCAGUAGGGUCCGAAAGGGAAGGCCAAAGUCUCCCCUCUCCAGAGCUAAUUAUAGAUAAAUACCACACAGGGAGUGCUCAGCUGUUCAGUGGUCACCUAGCACAGGUGGCUCUGUGGAUUGAAAAUGAGCAACUGGGGCUCAGGCUUUUAACCGAGUUCUUGGACAAGCUGACAAGAAACUGGGAUCUUAGAAAAGCUGGUUAAUUUGUACUGUAAUUUCCUUAAAAUUCAGGAACUUAGUAUGGAAUGGCUGUAUCACCCCACCCACCCCUCCACCUUUAGUAGCAGAUGGUCUACCAUCUCCUACUGCCUGAGGACGUUCACUCUUUGUCCAAAGCCAUACUUGCCACCCCACUCUCUCUGCCCUUCCGCUAGCUAGCUGUCUACCUCAUACACUGACUAAAUAAACCAGUUCUACUACUGGGCUGCUGAAGGAGGCAAGAGGGCCUACUGCACAGGCCUCACGGGUACCUUGAUAUGCAGCUGAAAAUGGUCCCACUCUCAGCUGGUGGAAAAUGGUGCAAACUACUCUGCAGGAGAGGGCAGUGGUGGAUGCACCAGCAGAGUGGCCUCCUACAGCACCAAGGGAGCCCGGAUGUGAACGCUGUGCUCGUGUUUCCCCCAACUCUCACCGGGGUGUACACUGAGGCCUGACGUUGGGGAGGGUGCAGGAACUCUGUGAACCUAAAACCCUUUUCUGCUUUGUCCCUCUUAUUUUAUUUUAUUUUAUUUUUUUGGCCUUUUGAGAUGGGCUCUUGCUACAUUGUUCCUGCUGACCUUGAAUGCACGAUGAAGCCCUGGGUGACCCUGAACUCGCACUGAUCCUCUGCCACCCAACUGCUGGAAUUACAGAUAUAUGUCACCAUGCCUGACCUAUCAUUGUUUCUAAAAUAAAGUUUAGUUUUAACGUACUAAAGCAUGGGCUGGGGAUUUAGCUCAGUGGUUCCGGCGCCUGCCUCACAAGCACAAAAACAUAUGUUAGUACCAAGAACCAUUGCCAUUUAAUAUUUCAUAAACAAGCUUGGUUCUUUCUGAAACAUGACCCAAAAUGGGGCGGGGGGGUCCUUAGAAGAAUAGAGCACGUGUGUCCAGAAGAUUCUCCCAGGGGCAGAGUAGGUUCAGGUAGCAGAGGAUGAUACACGUUAUGGAAAAGAAAAAUUAGUGUUGACCAUCACACAACAAACAAAACCUUGAAAUGCUUUUUUCCAAAAUGAAGACCCUCAAGAAUUAGUCCUGUUGGCAUCUUUUUUCCCAUCAGCACUGC
ensembl:lincRNA